GGAAAAUUGCGCCAAGGGGAGUGGCUCUGAGUGGUCCAAGAUUUGUCAUCUCCAGUACAUAUAUUUAGAUUGAUUACCCUUUUUUUUUCUCCUCUUUCGGCAUGGACAACAAACAAGCUUUAUCUGUGAAUUCUCUGUUCUCCCAGGAUGUUGUUUAUGAAUAAAUGAUCAUCUUAUGUUUUUUGAAGUCUACACAAGGGUGGAUUGCCUUAAUCUGAGAAAGUUCAGAUAAUUCCGUGGAAAGUGAAAACUUUUGGAUUAUAAAUCAAUAAAACGCACAAGAUAUCGGCUUUUGCUUUGCCUUUCACAUGUACCAUCUCCUGCACUUCAUUUUUCAUUGGUAUUGACUUGCCUCAUUGAACUCUAUAUGCUAUGAUUCAUCAUUAUAUGAUGUAUUCCCUUAAUGUAAUUGUUUUUGCAUACUUCCACUUGUGAAACCUUUCAAAUCAACAGGGGCAUUGCUGCAAUAUGAGGAAAUGCAAUUAUUUUUCUUUGGCAUUUUCCUUCAUAGGUAUUUUUCUCCAAAACUAGUACUUCCCAAAAUUCAAGUGCUUUAUAUCCUUUUUUGCCUAUGUUUAUUGGCUGAACUUUCACAAAAGAAACACAGAAAGUCCAUCAAAAGAAGAUUGGAUCUUCAUGAUGAUGAGACAGAUAAUGGGAAUGAUGAUGACCCAAAAUUAGUAGACUUUCUAGAUUCUCUACAUUGUCUUGGAUAGCAAAUUAAAGGGAAGAAGAUCAUACCGACUUAUGAGCAGAAGUUGCAAAGCUGUUUGCAAAUCUUGAGGCAUAUAUUUUUCUUAUAUAUUGUGCGCGGAAACACCUCAUUAUGGAGGGGUUCAAUCAUUUGUGAGUUUCUUGGUGGACCUCAUGCACUUGAAGAUUCUGUGGACUUGUAUAAUUUAAUACUAUCCAACUUCUCUUUAUACUCCAUUAAAUAAUCUCACUUUAUGUUUAUUAUUGCAGCAUUAAAUUUGCUGGCUCCAGUUCACCCGCUUAUUUGAUGAUUUUUCUCCGCAAGGUAGCUUUGGAACUUCAGGAAAAGAUAUGUUGUUGGUCCAGUCCACAUUAUACUUCAUUAGAGAUUGCAGGAUGCAAGAUAACUUCAGAUGCACAGCCGCAUUGUUUUCUCUGCAAUUUUCUGCUUUGAUUUGAGCUAGUUGUGAGACGACAGAAUAUUGUUCAACUGAGUAGGAAGCAUGUCUUUGGAGCCAUCAACUUUGUCCCAAGUGAAAGACUGAACAGGCUUUGGAGAUUGUUAUCGUGGCCAACUUGAGCUUUGAAAGAGCCAAAGAGAACUGAUAACUGUUGCUUGUGCAAUUUGAGCUUUAAGCUCCCAAUUUGAAAAGUACUUCAAUUAAAGAUCGACCAAAUGGAGAAUUGAACUUGCUUUGCAAAUAGAACCAUUAGAAAAUGGAACUGGACUUAUCCAUAGUGGCACUUGUUACAGUUGUUUUAUAUCUUGUUAGAUGUGAGAAGGAUGUGAAAUAAUUUCAAUUUUUUUCUUCUUCACAAUUUCAGGAUAAUCUUGAUUGUGGAAUUCUAAUGUGUAUGUUGUUAAACUUUGUUACUUCCUGCAUAUUGAUAUGAAUUAUGAAAUACAUAUGACAAAAGGUUUCUUUUCUGUGUGCUA